AACCUCCAAAACUUGACCAUCUUCCCGAAAUGAACUUCCGCACACGUCCAUUUUUUCCUGAGAUUUAUCAGUGUUGUACACCUGUCAGAACCCUCUUGCCUCUCAAGCCUCAAAUCUCCCCUACGCAGGACAUGGAGGUGGAAGAGAAGCAUCAAGUCUUAGACCUGCAAGGCCUGGCACGGG